UAGUUUGGCUGCUCGGUCCGCCUAACCGCGUGCACUGAUGCGGCCGGAUCUUUCCUUCUGGCUAACUCAUGCCCUUCACUGGGUGUGCCGGGGAUCCAGGACUUUUACUUUGAAAAAAUUAGAGUGUUCAAAGCAGGCCUUUGCUCGAAUACAUUAGCAUGGAAUAAUAGAAUAGGACGGCGGUUCUAUUUUGUUGGUUUCUAGAGCCACCGUAAUGAUUAAUAGGGAUAGUCGGGGGCAUCAGUAUUCAAUUGUCAGAGGUGAAAUUCUUGGAUUUAUUGAAGACUAACUACUGCGAAAGCAUUUGCCAAGGAUGUUUUCAUUAAUCAGUGAACGAAAGUUAGGGGAUCGAAGACGAUCAGAUACCGUCGUAGUCUUAACCAUAAACUAUGCCGACUAGGGAUCGGGCGGUGUUCAACUUAUGACCCGCUCGGCACCUUACGAGAAAUCAAAGUUUUUGGGUUCUGGGGGGAGUAUGGUCGCAAGGCUGAAACUUAAAGGAAUUGACGGAAGGGCACCACCAGAUGUGGAGCCUGCGGCUUAAUUUGACUCAACACGGGGAAACUCACCAGGUCCAGACACAUUAAGGAUUGACAGAUUGAGAGCUCUUUCUUGAUUAUGUGGGUGGUGGUGCAUGGCCGUUCUUAGUUGGUGGAGUGAUUUGUCUGCUUAAUUGCGAUAACGAACGAGACCUUAACCUGCUAAAUAGCCAGGCUAGCUUUUGCUGGUCGCCGGCUUCUUAGAGGGACUAUCGGCUCAAGCCGAUGGAAGUUUGAGGCAAUAACAGGUCUGUGAUGCCCUUAGAUGUUCUGGGCCGCACGCGCGCUACACUGACAGAGCCAACGAGUUCAUCCCUUAACCGAGAGGUUUGGGUAAUCUUGUUUAACUCUGUCGUGCUGGGGAUAGGGCAUUGCAAUUAUUGCCCUUCAACGAGGAAUAUCUAGUAAGCGCAAGUCAUCAGCUUGCGUUGAUUACGUCCCUGCCCUUUGUACACACCGCCCGUCGCUACUACCGAUUGAAUGGCU
rnacentral:rRNA from 1 species